rnacentral:misc_RNA from 1 species
UCCGGCUUAUCACCGGCGGUUUCCUCAGAGUACCCAGCUUAACCUGUUGGUAACAGAGGACGAGGGUUGCGCUCGUUGCGGGACUUAACCCAACAUCUCACGACACGAGCUGACGACAGCCAUGCAGCACCUGUGCACCUCCCAGCCGAACUGAAGAAAGCUGUUUCCAGCGAUCAUAGAGGGCAUGUCAAAUCCUGGUAAGGUUCUUCGCGUUGCCUCGAAUUAAACCACAUGUUCCACCGCUUGUGCGGGUCCCCGUCAAUUCCUUUGAGUUUUAAUCUUGCGACCGUACUCCCCAGGCGGGGUGCUUAACGCGUUAGCUGCGCCACUGAGAACUAUGUUCCCAACAGCUAGCACCCAUCGUUUACGGCGUGGACUAC